rnacentral:rRNA from 1 species
GACGAACGCUGGCGGCGUGCUUAACACAUGCAAGUCGAACGGAAAGGCCCUGCUUUUGUGGGGUGCUCGAGUGGCGAACGGGUGAGUAACACGUGAGUAACCUGCCCUUGACUUUGGGAUAACUUCAGGAAACUGGGGCUAAUACCGGAUAGGAGCUCCUGCUGCAUGGUGGGGGUUGGAAAGUUUCGGCGGUUGGGGAUGGACUCGCGGCUUAUCAGCUUGUUGGUGGGGUAGUGGCUUACCAAGGCUUUGACGGGUAGCCGGCCUGUGAGGGUGACCGGCCACCUUGGGACUGAGAUACGGCCCAGACUCCUACGGGAGGCAGCAGUGGGGAAUAUUGCACAAUGGGCGGAAGCCUGAUGCAGCAACGCCGCGUGCGGGAUGACGGCCUUCGGGUUGUAAACCGCUUUCGCCUGUGACGAAGCGUGAGUGACGGUAAUGGGUAAAGAAGCACCGGCUAACUACGUG